UACGAAGGGGGCUAGCGUUGUUCGGAAUUACUGGGCGUAAAGCGCACGUAGGCGGAUAUUUAAGUCAGGGGUGAAAUCCCGCAGCUCAACUGCGGAACUGCCUUUGAUACUGGGUAUCUUGAGUAUGGAAGAGGUUAGUGGAAUUGCGAGUGUAGAGGUGAAAUUCGUAGAUAUUAGGAAGAACACCAGUGGCGAAGGCGGCUCACUGGCCCGGUACUGACGCUGAGGCGCGAAAGCGUGGGGAGCAAACAGG
rnacentral:rRNA from 1 species